GAGGGUAUAGCUCAGUGGUAGAGCAUGUGCUUAGCAUGCACAAGGUCCUGGGUUCAAUCCCCAGUGCCUCCA
rfam:Camelus ferus unplaced genomic scaffold scaffold1254, whole genome shotgun sequence.